GGACUCACACGCUCCGUCACACACAAAUCACCGAGGCACUGACCACAACGACAUGUACAAAGUGAGGGCCAGCUGUGGGCCCGGCGCAAGGCCAGGUGCUGUGAGGUGGAAGGAAAGGCAACCUAAGAUGAGACGUCUGCCUUCAAGGAAGGGCUAACACACGAGAAAGACGGAAGAAAACAAUCACCCUUAAUGGAGCGGCACUUACUAGCCGAGUAGUAAGAGUUCUGAGAACAAAGCGGUUUCUUCCAGAUGUCUACUUAUUCUCUUUCAUGGUAACCACUGAAGAGCCCAGAGGAACAAUACAGAGGGAUGUGCAACAAUAAGCCCAGGAACUUCUGUGGCCAUUCUGCCUCCAGGAGAGAGGCCAGCCUGAGGAUGGACUGAUACCAUGGAAGAGUGGCAGAGAGAUGGGAAGAAACUGGACUCCUGAUGACAAGUUGAGCUGUUGUCUCACAUGCACCCUGUCGUCCAUCCCAUCCCUGCUUUUUGCUAGUACAAACCACUUAAUUAAUUCCCUGUGCUGUGGGAGCCCCUUUAAGUUCAGUUUUAUGAUAUUCACAACCCCCAAGUAAUCCAAACUGAUAAAUUGGAAAUAAGCACUCAUCCACAGCUUUUUCCUAGCACUUGCUCAGAUUCUGCUUGGUCCUGUUUCAAGUGGUUUUGUGUUGUUUUUCUUGAGAAAAUAUAAUGGGCUUUCAAUAAACACUUUCAUGAAUUAAUGAGUGGUCUUGGGCAAGUCACUUGA